GAUGAAGAACGUAGCGAAAUGCGAUAAGUAGUGUGAAUUGCAGAAUUCAGUGAAUCAUCGAAUCUUUGAACGCACAUUGCGCCCCUUGGUAUUCCAUGGGGCAUGCCUGUUCGAGCGUCAUUUGUACCUUCAAGCUUUGCUUGGUGUUGGGUGUUUGUCUCGCCUUUGCGUGUAGACUCGCCGUAAAAUAAUUGGCAGCCGGCGUAUUGAUUUCGGAGCGCAGUACAUCUCGCGCUUUGCACUCAUAACGACAGCGUCCAAAAGUACAUUUUACACUCUUGACCUCGUAUCAGGUAGGGAUACCCGCUGAACUUAAGCAUAUCAAUAAGCGGAGGA
rnacentral:misc_RNA from 1 species